rnacentral:rRNA from 1 species
GACGAACGCUGGCGGCGUGCUUAACACAUGCAAGUCGAACGGAAAGGCCCUGCUUUUGUGGGGUGCUCGAGUGGCGAACGGGUGAGUAACACGUGAGUAACCUGCCCUUGACUUUGGGAUAACUUCAGGAAACUGGGGCUAAUACCCGAUAGGAGCUCCUGCUGCAUGGUGGGGGUUGGAAAGUUUCGGCGGUUGGGGAUGGACUCGCGGCUUAUCAGCUUGUGGGUGGGGUAGUGGCUUACCAAGGCUUUGACGGGUAGCCGGCCGGAGAGGGUGGCCGGCCACAUUGGGACUGAGGUAGGGCGCAGACUCAGACGGGAGGCAGAAGCGGGGAAUAUUGCACAAGGGGCGCAAGCCUGAUGCAGCGACGCCGCGUGGGGGAUGACGGCCGUCGGGUGGUAAACUCCUGUCGUUAGGGACGAAGCCACGCUUUUUGGGUGUGGGGACGGUACCUUUGUUAAGAAGCACGGGCUAACUACGUG